rnacentral:rRNA from 1 species
UUAGUCUUGUAAUUUAAGACUGGAAUGAAAGGGAGUACUAGAUAAAUUCUUUUUUUAAUUUAGUUUAUUAAAUUUUACUUUUUAGUAAAAAGGCUAAAAUGUUUCUUUUAGACAAGAAGACCCUGUGAAAUUUUAUAUAGUAAGGCUAUAAUAGGUUUUAAGUAUAUUUUACUGGGGCGGUAAACAAAAACUCAUUGUUUUUAUUUAUAGACUAAAGAGUCAAAAUAACUAAAAAUUUUAAAGGAAAAAUAAAUUACUCCAGGGAUAACAGCAUAAUUUAAUUUAAAAGUUCUUAUUGACAAUUAAGUUUGUGACCUCGAUGUUGGAUUAAGAGUCCUUU